UAAAUUAUCUCCUAUGCCCUUUUCCCUGUGCUUCACUUGGAAGAUCCAAAGGCAACAAAAACUCGUUGAAGGUCCGCUUGGCAGGAGGAAAACUUCUGUAGGAGGAAGCAGGGAGAGAUCUGCUGCUCCUGAGGACCACACACAUGAAGAGCUGGUGAUGUUUGUUCCUGUUGGCUGUGAGAGUGCACGGACUCCAGAAGUGGGAAAAACAACGGAAAAGAAAUCAAGAUGCAAAGGAGAGCACAAAAUAAGCCAGAAGUUUUAUGGUUUUGAAGCUUUCUGGCCGUCCUGUAGGAUGAAGGUACUUUCUUUUAUUGUCUGCAUCAAGAGGAUCCUUCGUGGCUUGGAAGCAGAGGAUUUAAAUUAUUCAAAGGUCCAGAAAUACAGGAAAACAAAAUUCACCAUCCUUUACGGAAAUAGUGAAAUCUGAUUAACUUCAAAUUACAAUGAAGAAAUGAGAAGAGAGAGAAAUUUGUUAACCUUGACCUUCAGAAUAAAUAAUUGUAAACGUUUCUGCCAUGAUGCUGAUCUCGACUUUCCAGCUCCCUUCUCAUGCCCAAUGAAGACAUGGCCAGAGCCAGAGGCAACAGCCUCUCAAAGGUGGACAACAAGGCUGAGGCUGAAGCUUUCCCAGCAGCUCAUUGCAUCUUUUUCUUCUAGCGAUGCUCACAGGAGGAUAAGGAAAAUAUCCAUUUGAAUGUCAUUGAAAAAUCUCAUUAUGUUGUCCCAGUGCACAUUUUAUCACCAAAGGGUGAUAAAGAGGAGAAAAUGAGCACAGAAAUAUGGGCUAUCUUCUUUGAAAAACUGCCAUGAGAAAGUACACCUGUGUGCUCAGGCUGUGCAGAACAAAGCUGGACCUGUUGAGCAUUGUUGAUAUAACGACUGAGUAAACGAAAAUAAGUUCCCCGUGGAUCACUCUAAGAUAUGAAUGAACAAAAUCCAUUUUAUUUUUAUGAUCAGAUUCUGAGUUUCUAGAGAGGCAGAUACUUUUUCUGAAGUGUAGCACUGAACAACAAAUGGUAAAACCUAUGAAAAUAUCAUUGUGAAUCUACUUCCCAAAGGAAAAGACCACUCUGUAGUCACAGCCUGCAUCUGUAGCUGUCUUAUAAUUUACAUGGCUUAAGUAGAAUUCCUCCAGGAAAUACCAUUUGUUCCAAAUUAAAGGUCUGAAUGCUAAGGAAGGAGCACUGGAGGUAGUGAAGCUGAAAAUGCAGAAACGAAGGACUGCUUAUGUCUCUACCAUGUUGAGAUUACAAUGCUGUUCUGGUUGCGAUGUAAAUCAUGCUCCUCUUGCUCAAGCCUGUUUCACGGGGGACAUGGAUUACACUAUUAAACACCAUGGAAAUUCUUUUGUCAGACCUCCAGCUACAUAAAGGAAAGUUUAGCAGCUAAAAUGAUCUUUCAGCCUCAAUGUACAGAUUUUAGUGCAAGUAGGUGAAUACCAUCUCCAAUAUUUCAUUUUUCUUGAUCACUGUAACAAAGCUCUGAGGGAAACAAACGGGUUUUCUAGGCCAGCAGCAUAAACUGUCUUUUCACUUUAUUCCUUUGCUUUGCCAGCUUAACAAACUCUGGCUUGAACAGACUUGUAGUAAAUUUUGGCAACUAUUACCUGUUGUUGAUUAAAUAAAAUUUGUCAGCUGUGGCCAGUGCUAAUUGUUCUGUAAGAUAAAGGCAUUAUUUGCUAGAAAGGAGUAUGGUCUAAUGAGAGAAAUUCAGUAUUUUAUUUUAUUUUAAAGAUUUUUUUUCUUGACUAGUGUUGUGGACAUUCCCACCACACUGCUACUGCAUGUUGGCCAAUUGAAUAGACCCUGGAGAGUUUAAAUGGUUUCUGUGAUGUGUUCACACACUUGCCUGUACCAGUGCAGCUUGGUUGCUGCCUUCUUUGGCAUUCUUAUGAUGAUAAAUUGGUACAAACACAUAGGAUACAAAUAAUGUCCUUUCUGACUGAGCUAGUGUGGAAAUAGUGCCAGCAGAAGACUAUUUGCUAAUAUUACUGUACAAUUCACAAAAUCCCUGGUAGCGUACUGCUGCUUCUUAGCUGAUGCUGGCAUUAUCUGUUUUCCUGAAAAAGCCCUUAUUGUGAAGACCUUACAGCCUUUUGCAGCUGGGUUGCUGCCAAUUCCUCAGCUGGCUCUGGGCUGCCUCGCUGGUGGAUCCUCACACCUGAAAAAGUCCAUGUGGAAAGAUCAGUCAGCACACACCAAAGAGUUUAGGGUGCACAUAGUCUACCAAUGGUGCCAAGCACAUCUUUUUCUUUCGCAAACUUCCUCUGACAGCAAGGGAUGACUGGUCUCUCAAGGACUGCAUGAUUCAUGGUAGUGCUCACUUAAUUGAAAGUACUGGAGCAGCAGCUCCUCUUUUACUGCCUGAGAGGCCAGCUGAUCUCUUACAAAAGGGGAAACAUUGCUAAACAAAGGAAGUCAUUUUAAAAGAAGAAAAUAACAUCUGUCUAUAGAUAUGUGGAGAGGGAAAGAAGAAAUGUGAAAAUGGAGAUGGUGGGGGGAAAGGGCUUAAAGUUUAAAAAUCUGAAAAAUAAAGGCCAUAUGGGAUCAGAGACAGCACAUCCAAGUGUUAGACCAAAUGUAGAGACGUAAUGGAAGGAAGUAUAGGAGAGAGGGAGAAUGCAUAUAAAACAAAGCACAGGAAAAAGGUAUAAAACCCCCAAAAUUCAUUUACAGAGACUGAGGGACUGCUGCAUCAUCCAAUUGCCAGUAGAGGUGCUAAAGCCACAGCUAUAGAGCUCAGUAGCGAAUGCUCAAGAGAAGAAAUAAAUCCUACAUUUAGAUGGGUAGAGUAUUUCAAGACACGAACAAUAGUGCAAUGAAGCUACCUAGGAGGCAUCCAUUUAGGAAUGAAUUUCUCUACAUAUCUGUAGUUGAAACCAGAAAGACAGGCAGCGAGAGGCAGAAGAGGUUCUCUGAAAAAGCUCUGGAGCCAGUCCAGGAACACCAUGAAAUUCUUGUGGCUGUGCUGCAGCCAGGGAUCAGUGAGACCAGCAGGUACCACUCUGCAACUGGGGCACAAUAAAACCCUUCUACAAGCUGAGCCAAGAAUAAUCUUAAAAAGUGCUAUGCUUUGCCACUUACAAAUGUUGCUCUUGUCGAAGUGUUUUGUAUUUGCCUCAGUGUAGUUCCUUUUUUCUUCUUUUUUUUUAAAAAAAAAAAACUAAUUAGAUGCUUAUUAUAAAUCAAAGGGAAUUUCUGGGAGCUCGUUGGGUUUGUAAAUUAUGCAAAUGACAGCACUCUGAUGUUGGACCAUAAUAUUAUUAAUUGUAUAUUUUGUGGCUCAUGUGUUCUGAAGAGUACAUGUGAAACAAGUUUUUCUUUUUCUUUUUUUUUGAGUUCUUAAACACAAUAAGUUUAAGAAUUCUUCCUGCAGAUUGCAAAAUUAUUUUUCUCCAUUUUCUUAACGUUAGAGUAUAUUUUUAAUGCUAUAGACUAUUCUGUGCUGAUAGCUUUACAACACUGUGCAUGUAUUAUGAACAGAACAAACUUCACAGAUGAUUAUACUUAAAGCUGGAGGUCUUUCUGCAAAUUUUAAACAAAGUGUUCUAUUAAAUGCCAUCUAUAAAAUGCUUGAUGACUUACCUCCUAGGCUGAUUUGUGAUUUUGCCUGAGCUUUUGAAAUCCUGGAUGAAAAACCCUUUUGCUACAGGAAACUGGUUGGUAACUUAAUAAAUAGCACUGUAAUCUAAGUAUUGAACACUUCCACAUAGCAAGUAUUAUUUUGCAAUGCCUUCCUCUGCCUGAAGCAUAAAAUGGAAGCACUCUUGCUAUGUAAUACUUAACAAUCCCCAGGAAUACCUGUUAAAACAGAUAGACAUCAGGUGAAACCCCAGUGGUUAUCCUUAAAUUCCCCCAUGGUUGAGAAGCACAGCUGUCUUUGUGGUUCAGGACUGCUAUCUUUCCAUCUUGAUGUGAAGUUAAAUAAAGUAACAACAUCGAACAAGUUUUCUGUUCCAAAAAUGGUAGUGUUUCUGCAUCUGAAAUGAAUCCUGUCUAUCAAUUAGCAAACACUCUGAGAUUAUUCAGAAUAAAUGGGCUUUGUGUCAACAUGCUACAUUUACAAAUAUUGUACUCAGUUUGUGUCCUAACUGCCAAUUUCUGCAGCUAAUUCUACCGAUUUUUACACUGUGUUCAUUGCAAAUAGAAUUUCCUUUGCAUUAGGAGACAUUUCUUUCAUUGAUACAGAAAAAUAUGUUUGUGUUUCUUUCUUACAUUUGCAUGGUACGAAUACAACUGUCAUACAACAUCCAGGUUAAUUAAAUUAGCAACAACAACAACAAAAACCCCAAACAAUGGAGUGAAAGAUGUCAUACAUGUUUUGUUGAUUGGGCAUUUGGUACAUAUGAGCGUAUGCAUACUUACAUGCAAAGGCUUCAAUGUACACCUCAUGCAGUCCAUACCAUUGUAAAUCCAAUGUAGAUGCAGGUAAUAUACCAGGUAUGCCUACCUGGGGUGUCUAAGUAACUCUUCUGUCACAGGAAGAGUCCAAACAAUUUGCUUUGGUUUUGCUCAGGAAUCUGUAGUUUUAACCUCUAGCAAUUUUCCUGCUUUCGUGAAACUGUUAUAAAAGUCUUUCUCCAAGUACCUUUUGCAUUAAUAGCCUUGCAGAGAGAUAAUGAGGACACAGUUUUAAUGCCAGAUUAUCUGUUUAUGCAUAACAUUGAUCCAAAUGCUAAAUUUAGCUGGUCAUUAAGAGGAUAAGAGCCAGCAGAAUAAUUCAGUGUGCAAGUGCAGUUUUCAGAUUUAGACUGCAAAUAUCUUGGAGAGGGUCUGCAUUUUAGUCUGUUUUGUCAAACAGUUACAGAGAACCAUUGCUGUAGGAAAUCACUCUCUAUGUGAUGUUGAGAACAAAGAGGGAUUCUGCAUUCAGUAGCUGUCUGCAGAUUUUAUAUAUUUUUGAAUAGUGAGCAUUGCUCAUAAAAAGAAUUGCACCCUCCAUGAUUGCAGUGCCCUGCUGGAUAGCUAUAAAUUUUUUCACUAUUGCAGUGUUAUGAUCCAUUGGAAUCUGAGAUCGGUGAGAGCUGGAUUCCCGGUUUCAUUACGUCCCUUAUGAUAUUUGCUCUAACAUCGUUUAGGUUAGUGCAAACAUAUUGAGCUCUCAAUUCACUAAUCGUAUACACAUACUGCUUCCAAUCUGGCCCUGCCAGGGGCACCUGCACGGCGCUCUGCUGCUCUCCUGCCUCUGAGAACUGGCCCGUUUUGUUUUUUUAAAGGACUGGACAAGGGCUGUUCAGGUCAUUUCUUACGUUGCUUCCAGGUUGAGCAUCUGGGGAAAAAAGAAGGUCUGUCUGUGUGUAGGUUUUGUAUUUCAAAAUUUCAGUUUUAGAUGCAAGGUAAAACUAGAAUCUCUGGGGCAUCUUGUUCAAACCCCUGUUUUUGAUUAUCGGUCAAUACUUUAUACUGACCUCAAUUGUUAUUUGGGUUUGAGUGCAUCUAAAAAUGGCGUGAACAUGGCAUUUCUCUUAAGUUUCAGUAUUAUGCAAGCAGCUCAGAAUAAUUUUUUGUUGUAAAACUUGAAACCUAGAUCUAAGGUGACUCUGAAACUGAACCCUAACCUAAACUACAUCAAGACAUCUGUGCAAAUCUAUUUUUAUAUAUUAUCAAAUAAAAUAUCUUGACAUGC